GAAUGACUCAAAGUAACGUCUACCAAUAAAACGUCACUGCAAUAGUCAAGUUGUUCGAGUGUUAAAGUUCGGAGCAACAAAUUAGGAACCGAAUUCUAUGAGAAUGUCUUCAAGAGAUGAAACGCUAUUCAGAAGAUGUUAAAGAGAGAGCGAUACGGACUUCAUAUGGACUUACUUAAAAAGAAUAAUUUUCCUGUCAAUAAUAAUUGGUAAGACUUUCUAUAAUAAAGGCUUUGCAAUUGGUGUAGAAGAUGAAAUCCCG